GAUGAACGCUAGCUACAGGCUUAACACAUGCAAGUCGUGGGGCAUCAUGAUGUAGUAAUACAUUGAUGGCGACCGGCGCACGGGUGAGUAACGCGUAUCCAACCUACCCUCCACUCAAGUAUAGGCUUCCGAAAGGGAGAUUAAUCCUUGAUAUCGUCAUUCUCUCUCCUGUUAGAAUGAUAAAAGGACAUCGUUUCGGUAGAGGAUGGGGAUGCGUUCCAUUAGGUAGUAGGUGGUUUAACAGGCCACCUAGCCGAUGAUGGAUAGGGGUUCUGAGAGGAAUGUCCCCCACACUGGUACUGAGAUACGGACCAGACUCCUACGGGAGGCAGCAGUGAGGAAUAUUGGUCAAUGGGCGCAAGCCUGAACCAGCCAUGUAGCGUGAAGGAUGACGGUUUUUUUGAUUGUAAACUUCUUUUCUGUGCGAUUAAAGUGUGGCAUUUAUGCCAUAUUGCA
rnacentral:rRNA from 1 species